ACAUUCCAAGAAUUUUAUACCACAGAGGAGGUCACCCUUCCCAUAGAAGACCAUUUCAUACCCUAAUGUAUGAAGGAAUUCCUCUGAUUUCAACCAGAAUCUGCAUAACAGACUGCUACAACCAAGAUCAUCUUGCUCUUAGCUUCUUGCCCAAAUCUUUAGCACAGCAAGUCAGCGACCACCAUAAAACAAACACUCAUAAAAUACAAUUCUACUCAUUUCUGAUCAAUAAAAAUUAAUUGUUUUGUGCAACACAAAAGGAUCAGAAACUGUAUCAGCCCCACCCCUCCAAAAACCAUGUUAUAAGGGGGAAAUUGCCAGCAGAUGAGAAAAAUGGAAGAUCCAUUCAGCAUUUUCUGUUAAUAUAUGCAUGCCAUAAUGUGUUUGAUUGUAGAAACGUCUCCUAAAUUUUCUUUUGCAAACAAUGAUUAAUAACUAUGUGGCAUCAGAGGCACGAGAAAAAAAAGUGGCCGUCUUUUACCACUUUUAAUAAGAAAAAUAAGACAAAAAUUGCUACCUGUAUACUUUAUAAUCCUCUAUCUUACUAUAAGAAAAUGUAAAAGUGGCAGCAGAAGCAACAG
rnacentral:misc_RNA from 1 species